rnacentral:rRNA from 1 species
AUUCCAGCUCCAAUAGCGUAUACUAAAGUUGUUGCAGUUAAAAAGCUCGUAGUUGAAUUUCUGGUCUCGGACAGCGGUCUGCCUCAAACGAGGUACGCACCACCUGUUCAGGUCCAUCCUCGGAGAAAACAUGCCUGUGAUUCAGUUCAUGGGUAUGGGAUCUUCGUCAUUUACUGUGAGCAAAAUAUAGUGUUCAAAGCAGGCUUAUGCCGUUGAAUACAUUAGCAUGGAAUAAUAAAAUAAGACCUUGGUCUAUUUUGUUGGUUUGUACUCCAAGGUAAUGAUUAAUAGGGAUAGUUGGGGGUAUUCGUAUUCAAUUGUCAGAGGUGAAAUUCUUGGAUUUAUGGAAGACGAACUACUGCGAAAGCAUUUACCAAGGAUGUUUUCAUUA